rnacentral:rRNA from 1 species
GAUGAACGCUGGCGGCGUGCCUAAUACAUGCAAGUCGAGCGAACGGACGAGAAGCUUGCUUCUCUGAUGUUAGCGGCGGACGGGUGAGUAACACGUGGAUAACCUACCUAUAAGACUGGGAUAACUUCGGGAAACCGAAGCUAAUACCGGAUAAUAUUUUGAACCGCAUGGUUCAAAAGUGAAAGACGGUCUUGCUGUCACUUAUAGAUGGAUCCGCGCUGCAUUAGCUAGUUGGUAAGGUAACGGCUUACCAAGGCAACGAUGCAUAGCCGACCUGAGAGGGUGAUCGGCCACACUGGAACUGAGACACGGUCCAGACUCCUACGGGAGGCAGCAGUAGGGAAUCUUCCGCAAUGGGCGAAAGCCUGGCGGAGCAACGCCGCGUGAGUGAUGAAGGUCUUCGGAUCGUAAAACUCUGUUAUUAGGGAAGAACAUUUGUGUAAGUAACUGUGCACAUCUUGACGGUACCUAAUCAGAAAGCCACGGCUAACUACGUG